CUCAAACUUGACUCCAUAAGAGAGUGUCAGGUUUGGAGAGAAGAAAUGAGUUUAGUGCUAUGUGGUUUGUCACUCAAAUCUUUCACCAGCCCACCUCAUGAACUCAUGUGUAGUUACUAGGGAAAAAAGUAAUCUGUCAUUUAAAUCUACAACGGUGGUUUUACCAAAAAUUUGGUAGAAUUGAGAUGAAGGGUAAAAGUAGCAUUAUCGAAGCAUAAAAUAAAAGAUAAAUAAUUAUUAGCUUCUGCCCUCAACGUACCAAAUGUCUAGGAUGCUGAGGAGGGGAGGGCUGUGAAAGGGCGUGUGUGGAGUUUAAGAGUUGGCUGCACCAUAUGAGAGAGGUAGCAUCGCAGAUUGGGAGGAGCAGCAGCGGGGCCCAGGGGCGGAGAGCGCAUGCGCAAAGCCACAAUGGCUCUUCCCUGCACCAGUAGGGACGGUUAGCCGUCAGAGCAAGUGGUAACACUGUGAUGCAAGUGCCGCUGGGAAGAGGCUGAACUGCUCCUGGCUCUUCUGAGAGAUCUAGUGCAGAAACCCGGAAACACUUGGGCGCUAACUCUACCGUAUAUACUUAGGAAGAUAAUAAGUAAACAUGGAUUAAAAAUAGGAUUCUUCCCUUUAUGGAGCUUGCAGCUGCACAUGGAAUAUUUGUCAACUAUUCUAAUUUUGGUGACUUGUGGAUGGAGAAGAGGAUAUAGCAUCCACUCAGAUUCCUAGAAUCUAGCAGUUACACAUCCUGUGUAGUUCUGCUAGAGUCAAAGAAUUAUCUACAUCUUUCCCUGCCUGAUCUUCUGAAACUCUUUACUGAUAGAACUUAUGAACAAAAAAACAAAUAAAACUAUCAGCAAAUCUUAAUACUCCUACA
rnacentral:lncRNA from 1 species